ACUUGUCUGCGGUGCAUGCCGGGCCUUAUACGUCCUUGAACCAAUGCUCAUAGAGCACGGGCCUGGAACAUCUCUUGACUAGCGUGAUCGUCUCGCGUUAGACGAACCCAAAGUCAGGCUGACCUAGCCCACCUGAACCACGGUUCAGGCUGCCGGUCCGGCGGCACUUGCAGACACCUU
rnacentral:other from 1 species